ACCGCGUGAGCGAGAAGGCCUUCGGGUCGUAAAGCUCUGUUGUUAGGGAAGAACAAGUAUCGGAGUAACGGCCGGUACCUUGACGGUACCUAACCAGAAAGCCACGGCUAACUACGUGCCAGCAGCCGCGGUAAUACGUAGGUGGCAAGCGUUGUCCGGAAUUAUUGGGCGUAAAGCGCGCGCAGGCGGUCCUUUAAGUCUGAUGUGAAAGCCCACGGCUCAACCGUGGAGGGUCAUUGGAAACUGGGGGACUUGAGUAGCAGAAGAGGAGAGUGGAAUUCCACGUGUAGCGGUGAAAUGCGUAGAGAUGUGGAGGAACACCAGUGGCGAAGGCGACUCUCUGGUCUGUAACUGACGCUGAGGCGCGAAAGCGUGGGGAGCAAACAGGAUUAGAUACCCUGGUAGUCCACGCCGUAAACGAUGAGUGCUAAGUGUUAGAGGGUUUCCGCCCUUUAGUGCUGCAGCUAACGCAUUAAGCACUCCGCCUGGGGAGUACGGCCGCAAGGCUG
rnacentral:rRNA from 1 species